AUGGUCGACAGGUUUCCUCCCAGUCAAUAGCUCCAGAAGAACAACUCCAAAACUGUACACAUCGCUCUUAGAGCUAAGUUGACCAGUCAUCGCAUACCUGAUCAAAAAGUUUAAACAAGCUUAAGUUGAAUGACUCCAAAGCUUCAUGGAGCAAAUGAACAACUGAAAGAAAACAAGAACAUACUCAGGUGCAUGGUAUCCAAAUGUUCCCAGAACCCUAGUUGAGUGAAGCCGGGCUGCCAUGUCAGGAGCUUGGUUUGA
rnacentral:rRNA from 1 species